CGUGAUCUUCUUUUGGGUUUCUUCCAGUUCCUUUUCCAGAGCAGCCAUUUUUUUUAUUAACUGUUGGCGCGUACACUGAAUGGGACUUUCGGGUAACGUCGAAUCGUCUGUCAAAACGAUU